GAGUAAAGGAGGAUGCAAGGGGGAAAAAAGUUGCAAGAAUCUCUAAGCUCCGUUAUUGGCUCCAAAGAAAAGAAACAUAACCCACCAAAUCUUUUAUGUCCUUUUUCAGUUUCAAAGUUGAAGAGAAAAGGAGAGAUUUAAAAGAGUGUAGAAGAGCAAUGAAUGGGUGAAAGUGAAAAAAACAAAUCAGUGCGUGCUUCUUUUGUAGUAAACACUCUUCUCUUUCUGCCU